UCUGGAGUCCUGCACCGUUCCUCUUCGUUUCCGGUUCCUGUGUGCUGUACGACGUUCCAGCCCUCCUCGUUGUGCGUGCGAGCAGUACACACAGAGUCGUUCCUGCAUUCUUCUAAGGACUGCGUCCAUGGCCGAGCCCUCAACAUCGGGAGCCCUCCAGCCCUCGACAUCGGGAGCCUGCCAGCUUGUGUCAUCUCAGGUAU